AUUCCCGUUUCUCUCUUUUCUCUUCUUCUUUCAACAUACGUGACACCCCGGUGGAACAAUGUCGGAAGUCUGUGGAUUUUCCGUAUAAGGCACGGUGGACAAGAAAGAACGAAAUACAUUUCAAUAAGGCGAUUGGAUGGAAUAACGUCGACUGGAUUGUGCAUUAUGACGUCAUAGUUGAAUAGCGUCAUAAUAAAGGAAUUGCCUAGUUUUAGUGGAGCAGGUCGUGUUUUUCAAAACAUUAUUAAAUCCAAAUAGAUCUAAUUAUAAUACGCACAAGAUGAAAAAGGCGAAAAAUCAGAAAUCGAACAGAAAAGUAAAGAAUGAAAAAUUGGUCAACACUCCAGAUGAGUCAAGCACGCCGGCAAAUGAGAUGUCUUUCGGCGAUGGUAGUUUAGUUAUAUCAGAAGUAAAUCGUAGGAAUUCACUAGACAGAGAAAUAAAGAAACAUAUACAACAAAUAGAAGAUCAUGAUAGAUGUAUUCACUAUUUGAUGGGUCUCAAUCAAAAGAUGGAUGAGAAAGUGAAGAAAUAUGAAAUUCGUUUAGCAGACGUGAAAGAAGAAACAGAAGUUAUUCAAAUCACUAACUUGGGAAUUCGAGAGAAAUUUGAAAAAUUGGACUCUGAAAACAAAGAGGCACAAAGUCUAGAUAAGAAUAUUAGAAACUUGCUCGAAGAGGAAAUAAUACUCAAAAAUGAAAUCGAAAAACUAGAACGCAUCAGACGUAUUUUAGCUGUGAAAAGUGAUGACGUUGAUGGCUUUAUGACAGAAUUGUUCCCCGAUGAAGCUUAUGGCACCGGGUUGGUUGACAUCAAAACGUUACGAUCACAAACAUGUAUUUCUGAAUGUAAAGAUAUUCAACGUACUUACAAAAAUCGCAUAGUAAUACAAGCAUUUACUGAAAAAAGAGGAAGAUUUUUUAAGCUUAGAAAGUUUUUCGCACGUGUUUUCCGGAGACGUAAUUAGACUUACACCACAAACUGGUUCUAUGUUGAAAUGAUGUUUAAAAAACAAACUAAGAUGGAAUAGUUGAAAAAGAGAACAAAUUUACAA